CCCCAAUGUUCAAGUCAGGAAGCCUCCCACAAAGCAACUUUUGUUAGCCCCUAUGGGAGGUUUCCGUUACAACGUUGGGAGAUUGAAAUUUUGGCAUUUCACAACCCCUGAUCUUUACAUGUUCACUGUGUUGCAUAAUAGCUUCCGUCUUGGAAGUCUAUCCGAAAUCCAAAGGUUGCAUCGCUUUUGAGUUGAAAUUUACCAGCCGGACGGGUUUCCUUUCCUUGGCUUUUCUUUGGUUUUAUUUCAUAGUAGUGAUUCAGACAUCA
rnacentral:snoRNA from 1 species